rnacentral:rRNA from 1 species
GGGAUUAACAACACUAGACGCAUGUCUAGAGUUUAAAAGAUGGUUCUGCUAUCACUCUUAGGAUGGACCUGCGGUGCCAUUAGCUAGUUUGGUAAGGCAACGGGCGUUUAACCAAGGCAAUGAUGCAUAGCCGAGUUGAGAGACUGAUCGGCCACAUUGGGACUGAGACACGGCCCAAACUCCUACGGGAGGCAGCAGUA